UGGUUUGAUCCUGGCUCAGAGCGAACGCUGGCGGCAGGCUUAACACAUGCAAGUCGAACGGGCGUAGCAAUACGUCAGUGGCAGACGGGUGAGUAACGCGUGGGAACGUACCUUUUGGUUCGGAACAACACAGGGAAACUUGUGCUAAUACCGGAUAAGCCCUUACGGGGAAAGAUUUAUCGCCGAAAGAUCGGCCCGCGUCUGAUUAGCUAGUUGGUGAGGUAACGGCUCACCAAGGCGACGAUGCGUAGCCGACCUGAGAGGGUGAUCGGCCACAUUGGGACUGAGACACGGCCCAGACUCCUACGGGAGGCAGCAGUGGGGAAUAUUGCACAAUGGGGGAAACCCUGAUGCAGCAACGCCGCGUGAGUGAUGACGGCCUUCGGGUUGUAAAGCUCUGUCUUCAGGGACGAUAAUGACGGUACCUGAGGAGGAAGCCACGGCUAACUACGUGCCAGCAGCCGCGGUAAUAA
rnacentral:rRNA from 1 species